CGGACGGGUGAGUAACACGUGGAUAACCUACCUAUAAGACUGGGAUAACUUCGGGAAACCGGAGCUAAUACCGGAUAAUAUAUUGAACCGCAUGGUUCAAUAGUGAAAGACGGUUUUGCCGUCACUUAUAGAUGGAUCCGCGCUGCAUUAGCUAGUUGGUAAGGUAACGGCUUACCAAGGCAACGAUGCGUAGCCGACCUGAGAGGGUGAUCGGCCACACUGGAACUGAGACACGGUACAGACUCCUACGGGAGGCAGCAGCU
rnacentral:rRNA from 1 species